GCGAAAACUCCGCAAUGCGCUCACGCGUGACGGGGUCACCCCGAGUGCCACCCUCGUGGUGGCUUUUGCGCAGUGUAAACAGCUGCGCGAAUAAGCGGGGGGCAAGACGGGUGUCAGCCGCCGCGGUAAUACCCGCUCCGCGAGUGGUGAGGACUAUUACUGGGCUUAAAGCGUCCGUAGCCGGCUCGGCGUGCUCCGCGUUAAAUCCAGCAGCCUAACUGCUGGGCUGCGCGGAUGACUGCCGGGCUUGGGGGUGGGAGAGGGCGGCGGUAUUCCCGGGGUAGGGGUAAAAUCUACUGAUCCCGGGAGGACCACCAGACCAUCUUCUGAGGGUUCAAAGUUUUAUUCUAUGGAAAACAUACAUUGAGAUAAUUGUCGACGGCAAGACUCAUCGGACAUGUUUUUGGCGACGGCUACAUUCAUCCAAAGAAGUACUACUUCGUCUACACGAACAAAAACUUGUUUCUUUUGAGAACAGUCGUGAAUCUGGUGAAAGCCGAGUUUCCAGAUGCCAAAUAUUGUUACCGGAAAUCUGUAGGGGAAACACAGUUUAGUGUAAAAGUAGGUAAACAAUUAGUUGAGCUGGGCUGUCCAAAAGGUUCCAAAACAGUGCAAUGGACCGAGGUUCCAUCUUGGAUGCAGACAGCAAAUGGAGAACAAAAAAUUCAGUUCGUUUCAACGCUGUUUGACGAUGAAGCUGAGGUGAGAACAUCUACAGGCUCCAAACAAGUUACCCUGAAAGCGGCAAAAACGGUUGAGCUCGAAGAAAACCUAAUCAUUUACCUGAAUCAAUUGAAGGGUUUGAUUGAGGAUUUGGGUGUAGCAUGUUCGACACCGCAUCGAGAUAGCUUUUACUUAAAGAGUGGUCAUGGUUACGUAUCUAAACGAAUCUGGGUAACUGGUUUAGGAAACUUAAGAGUUUUAGCUGAUAAAUUGAUGUUAAAUCAUCCAGUCAAGAGGUCUAAGUUGUUUACCCUCUUGAGGAUGGGGUGAAUGGCGAAGGCGGCCGCCCAGAACACGCCCGACGGUGAGGGACGAAAGCUGGGGGAGCGAACGGGAUUAGAUACCCCGGUAGUCCCAGCCGUAAACGAUGCGGGCUUGGUGUCGGGCUGACCACGAGUCAGCCCGGUGCAGAAGGGAAACCAUUAAGCCCGCCGCCUGGGGAGCACGGCCGCAAGGCUGAAACU
rnacentral:rRNA from 1 species